CUCUGGAGAGCAGCGUGUCGGCUGUAACGGCACGUUCACCGACGGGGCACGAUGACCACUCCCACGAGUGUGUCUCCAAACUCUCAGGUUACGGAACAGAG
rnacentral:ncRNA from 2 species